rnacentral:rRNA from 1 species
CCUACGGGAGGCAGCAGUGGGGGAUAUUGCACAAUGGGGGGAACCCUGAUGCAGCGACGCCGCGUGGGUGAAGGAGUGCUUCGGCAUGUAAAGCUCUAUCGGCAGGGAAGAAGCAAGACGGUACCUGACUAAGAAGCCCCGGCUAACUACGUGCCAGCAGCCGCGGUAAUACGUAGGGGGCGAGCGUUAUCCGGAUUUACGGGGUGUAAAGGGAGCGUAGACGGGAGUGCAAGUCUGGAGUGAAAGGCGGGGGCUCAACCCCGGGACUGCUCUGGAAACUGUACGGCUGGAGUGCAGGAGAGGUAAGUGGAAUUCCUGGUGUAGCGGUGAAAUGCGUAGAUAUUAGGAGGAACACCAGUGGCGAAGGCGAGUUACUGGACUGUAACUGACGUUGAGGCUCGAAAGCGUGGGGAGCAAACAGGAUUAGAUACCCGAGUAGUC